GAUGAACGCUGGCGGCGUGCUUAACACAUGCAAGUCGAACGAAGCACUUUAUUUGAUUUCCUUCGGGACUGAUUAUUUUGUGACUGAGUGGCGGACGGGUGAGUAACGCGUGGGUAACCUGCCUUGUACAGGGGGAUAACAGUUGGAAACGGCUGCUAAUACCGCAUAAGCGCCCAGCAUCGCAUGAUGCAGUGUGAAAAACUCCGGUGGUAUAAGAUGGACCCGCGUUGGAUUAGCUAGUUGGUGAGGUAACGGCCCACCAAGGCGACGAUCCAUAGCCGAGCUGAUAGGGUGACCGGCCACAUUGGGACUAAGACACGGCCCAAACUCCUACGGGAGGCAGCAGUGGGGAAUAGUGCACAAUGGGCGAAAGCAUGAUGCAGCGACGCCGCGUGAGCGAAGAAGUAUGUCGGUAUGUAAAGCUCUAUCAGCAGGGAAGAUAAUGACGGUACCUGACGAAGAAGCACCGGCUAAAUACGUG
rnacentral:rRNA from 1 species